rnacentral:rRNA from 1 species
GAUGAACGCUGGCGGCGUGCCUAAUACAUGCAAGUCGAGCGAACAGACGAGGAGCUUGCUCCUCUGACGUUAGCGGCGGAAGGGGGAGUAACACGUGGAUAACCUACCUAUAAGACUGGGAUAACUUCGGGAAACCGGAGCUAAUACCGGAUAAUAUAUUGAACCGCAUGGUUCAAUAGUGAAGGACGGUUUUGCUGUCACUUAUAGAUGGAUCCGCGCCGCAUUAGCUAGUUGGUAAGGUAACGGCUUACCAAGGCAACGAUGCGUAGCCGACCUGAGAGGGUGAUCGGCCACACUGGAACUGAGACACGGUCCAGACUCCUACGGGAGUCAGCAGUAGGGAAUCUUCCGCAAUGGGCGAAAGCUUGACGGAGCAACGCCGCGUGAGUGAUGAAGGUCUUCGGAUCGUAAAACUCUGUUAUUAGGGAAGAACAAAUGUGUAAGUAACUAUGCACGUCUUGACGGUACCUAAUCAGAAAGCCACGGCUAACUACGUG